rnacentral:rRNA from 1 species
AUUGAACGCUGGCGGCAGGCCUAAAAAAUGCAAGUCGAGCGGAGCGGCGGACGGGUGAGUAAUGCCUAGUAAUCUGCCUGGUAGUGGGGGAUAACGUCCGGAAACGGGAGCUAAUACCGCAUACUAUCAGAUGAGGCUCGGUCGGAUUAGCUAGUUGGUGGGGUAACGGCCUACCAAGUUUACGAUCCGUAACUGGUCUGAGAGGAUGAUCAGUCACACUGGAAUUGAGACACGGUCCAGACUCCUACGGGAGGCAGCAGUGGGGAAUAUUGGACAAGGGGCGAAAGCCUGAUCCAGCCAUGCCGCGUGUGUGAAGAAGGUCUUCGGAUUGUAAAGCACUUUAAGUUGGGAGGCGUUACCAACAGAAUAAGCACCGGCUAACUUCGUGCCAGCAGCCGCGGUAAUAC